rnacentral:rRNA from 1 species
GACGUAGGGCGCGAGCGUUGUCCGGAUUUAUUGGGCGUAAAGGGCGCGUAGGCGGCCCUGUAAGUCAGUGCUGAAAUAUCCCGGCUUAACCGGGAGGGUGGCAUUGAUACUGCGGGGCUAGAGUACAGAUGAGGUAGGCGGAAUUGACGGUGUAGCGGUGAAAUGCUUAGAUAUCGUCAAGAACACCUAUAGCGAAGGCAGCUUACUAGGCUGUAACUGACGCUGAGGCACGAAAGUGUGGGGAGCGAACAGG